rnacentral:rRNA from 1 species
UACGGGGGGGGCAAGCGUUGUUCGGAAUUACUGGGCGUAAAGGGCUCGUAGGCGGCCAACUAAGUCAGACGUGAAAUCCCCAGGCUUAACUUGGGAACUGCGUCUGAUACUGGGAGGCUUGAGUGCGGGAGAGGGAUGUGGAAUUCCAGGUGUAGCGGUGAAAUGCGUAGAUAUCUGGAGGAACACCGGUGGCGAAGGCGGCAUCCUGGACCGACACUGACGCUGAGGCGCGAAAGCCAGGGGAGCAAACGGG